CACGUAGUUAGCCGGGGCUUCUUAGUCAGGUACCGUCUUUUUUCUUCCCUGCUGAUAGAGCUUUACAUACCGAAAUACUUCUUCACUCACGCGGCGUCGCUGCAUCAGGGUUUCCCCCAUUGUGCAAUAUUCCCCACUGCUGCCUCCCGUAGGAGUUUGGGCCGUGUCUCAGUCCCAAUGUGGCCGUUCACCCGUCUCAGGCCGGCUACUGAUCGUCGCCUUGGUACGGCCGUUACCCCACAACCAGCUAAUCAGACGCGGGCUCAUCUUAUACUGCCGGAGUUUUUCACACAGAAACCAUAGCGUUCCCGUGCGCUUAAUGUCGGUAUUAGCAGGUCAGUUCUAACUGUUACUCCCCCUGUAUAAGGCAGACUUACCACGUGUUACUCACCCGUCCGCCGCUAA
rnacentral:rRNA from 1 species